rnacentral:rRNA from 1 species
ACUCCUACGGGAGGCAGCAGUGGGGAAUUUUGGACAAUGGGCGAAAGCCUGAUCCAGCAAUGCCGCGUGUGUGAAGAAGGCCUUCGGGUUGUAAAGCACUUUUGUCCGGAAAGAAAUCCUUGGCUCUAAUACAGUCGGGGGAUGACGGUACCGGAAGAAUAAGCACCGGCUAACUACGUGCCAGCCGCCGCGGUAAUACGUAGGGUGCGAGCGUUAAUCGGAAUUACUGGGCGUAAAGCGUGCGCAGGCGGUUUGCUAAGACCGAUGUGAAAUCCCCGGGCUCAACCUGGGAACUGCAUUGGUGACUGGCAGGCUAGAGUAUGGCAGAGGGGGGUAGAAUUCCACGUGUAGCAGUGAAAUGCGUAGAGAUGUGGAGGAAUACCGAUGGCGAAGGCAGCCCCCUGGGCCAAUACUGACGCUCAUGCACGAAAGCGUGGGGAGCAAACAGGAUUAGAAACCCCGGUAGUCCCA